AGGCAGCAGCAGGGAAUAUUGCACAAUGGGCGAAAGCCUGAUGCAGCGACGCCGCAUGAGGGAUGACGGCCUUCGGGUUGUAAACCUCUUUCAGCAGGGAAGAAGCGAAAGCGACGGUACCUGCAGAAGAAGCGCCGGCUAACUACGUGCCAGCAGCCGCGGUAAUACGUAGGGCGCAAGCGUUGUCCGGAAUUAUUGGGCGUAAAGAGCUCGUAGGCGGCUUGUCACGUCGGUUGUGAAAGCCCGGGGCUUAACCCCGGGUCUGCAGUCGAUACGGGCAGGCUAGAGUUCGGUAGGGGAGAUCGGAAUUCCUGGUGUAGCGGUGAAAUGCGCAGAUAUCAGGAGGAACACCGGUGGCGAAGGCGGAUCUCUGGGCCGAUACUGACGCUGAGGAGCGAAAGCGUGGGGAGCGAACAGGAUUAGAUACCCUGGUAGUCCACGCCGUAAACGGUGGGCACUAGGUGUGGGCAACAUUCCACGUUGUCCGUGCCGCAGCUAACGCAUUAAGUGCCCCGCCUGGGGAGUACGGCCGCAAGGCUAAAACUCAAAUGAAUUGACGG
rnacentral:rRNA from 1 species